rnacentral:lncRNA from 1 species
CCAAGAUGGUGGCGCUGGGCUCGGGGUGACUACAGGAGACGACGGGGCCUUUUCCCUUCGCCAGGACCCGACACACCAGGCUUCGCUCGCUCGCGCACCCCUCCGCCGCGUAGCCAUCCGCCAGCGCGGGCGCCCGCCAUCCGCCGCCUACUUACGCUUCACCUCUGCCGACCCGGCGCGCUCGGCUGCGGGCGGCGGCGCCUCCUUCGGCUCCUCCUCGGAAUAGCUCGCGGCCUGUAGCCCCUGGCAGGAGGGCCCCUCAGCCCCCCGGUGUGGACAGGCAGCGGCGGCUGGCGACGAACGCCGGGAUUUCGGCGGCCCCGGCGCUCCCUUUCCCGGCCUCGUUUUCCGGAUAAGGAAGCGCGGGUCCCGCAUGAGCCCCGGCGGUGGCGGCAGCGAAAGAGAACGAGGCGGUGGCGGGCGGAGGCGGCGGGCGAGGGCGACUACGACCAGUGAGGCGGCCGCCGCAGCCCAGGCGCGGGGGCGACGACAGGUUAAAAAUCUGUAAGAGCCUGAUUUUAGAAUUCACCAGCUCCUCAGAAGUUUGGCGAAAUAUGAGUUAUUAAGCCUACGCUCAGAUCAAGGUAGCAGCUAGACUGGUGUGACAACCUGUUUUUAAUCAGUGACUCAAAGCUGUGAUCACCCUGAUGUCACCGAAUGGCCACAGCUUGUAAAAGAUCAGGAGAACCUCAGUCUGACGACAUUGAAGCUAGCCGAAU